GACCGUGUAGCUCAGUUGGUUAGAGCGUGGUGCUAAUAUCUCCCCGUGGGUGUGACGCCAAGGCCGCGAGUUCGACCCUCGUCAUGGUCA